rnacentral:rRNA from 1 species
GACGAACGCUGGCGGCGUGCUUAACACAUGCAAGUCGAACGGAAAGGCCCUGCUUUUGUGGGGUGCUCGAGUGGCGAACGGGUGAGUAACACGUGAGUAACCUGCCCUUGACUUUGGGAUAACUUCAGGAAACUGGGGCUAAUACCGGAUAGGAGCUCCUGCUGCAUGGUGGGGGUUGGAAAGUUUCGGCGGUUGGGGAUGGACUCGCGGCUUAUCAGCUUGUUGGUGGGGUAGUGGCUUACCAAGGCGUUGACGGGUAGCCGGCCUGAGAGGGUGACCGGCCACAUGGGGACUGAGAUACGGCCCAGACUCCUACGGGAGGCAGCAGUGGGGAAUAUUGCACAAUGGGCGGAAGCCUGAUGCAGCAACGCCGCGUGCGGGAUGAAGGCCUUCGGGUUGUAAACCGCUUUCGCCUGUGACGAAGCGUGAGUGACGGUAAUGGGUAAAGAAGCACCGGCUAACUACGUG